UAAGGGAAUUGUAGUGGAGUAAAAUUAAAGUUUCCAUGAAUAUAAAUAACUAAGUACAGAUACGUGAAAAUUCUAGUUAAGUACAGUAGCAAAGUAUUUGUACUUUGUUACAUUACAACACUGCUUAUUAGGAACAGUCUGG